ensembl:misc_RNA Metazoa_SRP Metazoan signal recognition particle RNA
GCCGGGCACUGCGGCGCGUGCCUGUAGUCCCAGCUACUCGGGAGGCUGAGGCUGAAGGAUUGCUUGAGUCCAGGAGUUCUGGGCUGCGGUGUGCUAUGUGGAUCCGGUGUCCACACUAAGUUCGGCAUCAAUAUGGUGACCUCCCAGGAGCGGGGGACCACCAGGUUGCCUAAGGAGGGGUGAACCGGCCCAGGUCGGAAACGGAGCAGGUCAAAACUCCCGUGCUGAUCAGUAGUGGGAUCGUGCCUGUGAAUAGCCACUGCACUCCAGCCUGGGCAACAUAGCGAGACCUCGUCUCUA